GAUGAACGCUGGCGGCGUGCCUAAUACAUGCAAGUCGAGCGAACGGACGAGAAGCUUGCUUUUCUGAUGUUAGCGGCGGACGGGUGAGUAACACGUGGAUAACCUACCUCUAAGACUGGGAUAACUUCGGGAAACCGGAGCUAAUACCGGCUAAUAUUUUGAACCGCAUGGUUCAAAAGUGAAAGACGGUCUUGCUGUCACUUAUAGAUGGAUCCGCGGUGCAUUAGCUAGUUGGUAAGGUAACGGCAUACCAAGGCAACGAUGCAUAGCCGACCUGAGAGGGUGAUGCGCCGCAGUGGGACGGAGACACGGUUCAGACUCCUACGGGGGGUGACGGUAGGGAAGCGUCCGAAAUGGGGGAAAGCAUGACGGAACAACGCCGCGUGAGUGAUAAAGGUCUUCUGAUCGUUAAACUCUGUUAUUAGGGAAGAACAUUUGUGUAAGUAACUGUGCACAUCUUUACGGUACCUAAUCAAUAAGCAACGGCUAACUUCGUG
rnacentral:rRNA from 1 species